rnacentral:rRNA from 1 species
GACGAACGCUGGCGGCGUGCUUAACACAUGCAAGUCGAACGGAAAGGCCCUGCUUUUGUGGAGUGCUCGAGUGACGAACGGGUGAGUAACACGUGAGUAACCUGCCCUUGACUUUGGGAUAACUUCAGGAAACUGGGGCUAAUACCGGAUAGGAGCUCCUGCUGCAUGGUGGGGGUUGGAAAGUUUCGGCGGUUGGGGAUGGACUCGCGGCUUAUCAGCUUGUUGGUGGGGUAGUGGCUUACCAAGGCUUUGACGGGUAGCCGGCCUGAGAGGGUGACCGGCCACAUUGGGACUGAGAUACGGCCCAGACUCCUACGGGAGGCAGCAGUGGGGAAUAUUGCACAAUGGGCGGAAGCCUGAUGCAGCAACGCCGCGUGCGGGAUGACGGCCUUCGGGUUGUAAACCGCUUUCGCCUGUGACGAAGCGUGAGUGACGGUAAUGGGUAAAGAAGCACCGGCUAACUACGUG